ensembl:snoRNA
UUUUUUUUUUUUUCAUUGGUGGACAAAUACUUAGCAAAAAUAAAUUCUCUUUUGCAACUCAGAAUUCAUUGUUCAAUAUGAGUUUUGAUACAGAUAAAAAGGAACAUG